rnacentral:rRNA from 1 species
CGAACGGGUGAGUAACGCGUGGGGAACCUGCCUCAAAGAGGGGGACAACAGUUGGAAACGACUGCUAAUACCGCAUAAGCCCACGGCUCGGCAUCGAGCAGAGGGAAAAGGAGCAAUCCGCUUUGAGAUGGCCUCGUGUCCGAUUAGCUAGUUGGUGAGGUAACGGCCCACCAAGGCGACGAUCGGUAGCCGGACUGGGAGGUUGAACGGCCACAUUGGGACUGAGACACGGCCCAG